rnacentral:rRNA from 1 species
CGCGGCCUAUCAGCUUGUUGGUGGGGUAACGGCCCACCAAGGCUAUGACGGGUAGCUGGCGUGAGAGCGUGGCCAGCCACACUGGGACUGAGACACGGCCCAGACUCCUACGGGAGGCAGCAGCAGGGAAUCUUGCGCAAUGGGCGAAAGCCUGACGCAGCGACGCCGCGUGGGGGAUGAAGGCCUUCGGGUUGUAAACCCCUUUCAGGAGGGACGAAGCGAGAGUGACGGUACCUCCAGAAGAAGCCCCGGCCAACUACGUGCCAGCAGCCGCGGUAAUACGUAGGGGGCGAGCGUUGUCCGGAUUUAUUGGGCGUAAAGAGCUCGUAGGCGGCUCAGCGAGUCGGCCGUGAAAACCCGGGGCUCAACCCCGGGCCGCCGGUCGAUACUGCUGUGGCUAGAGUCCGGUAGAGGGGGGUGGAAUUCCCGGUGUAGCGGUGAAAUGCGCAGAUAUCGGGAGGAACACCGAUGGCGAAGGCAGCCCCCUGGGCCGGUACUGACGCUCAGGAGCGAAAGCUAGGGGAGCAAACAGGAUUAGAUACCCUGGUAGUCCUAGCCGUAAACGAUGGGCACUAGGUGUGGCGGGCGCAUCCACGUCUGCCGUGCCGAAGCUAACGCGUUAAGUGCCCCGCCUGGGAGUACGG